rnacentral:rRNA from 1 species
GACGAACGCUGGCGGCGUGCCUAAUACAUGCAAGUAGAACGCACAGUUUAUACCGUAGCUUGCUACACCAUAGACUGUGAGUUGCGAACGGGUGAGUAACGCGUAGGUAACCUGCCUGGUAGCGGGGGAUAACUAUUGGAGACGAUAGCUAAUACCGCAUAAUAUUAAUUAUUGCAUGAUAAUUAAUUGAAAGGUGCAAUUGCACCACUACCAGAUGGACCUGCGUUGUAUUAGCUAGUAGGUGAGGUAACGGCACACCUAGGCGACGAUACAUAGCCGACCUGAGAGGGUGGUCGACCACCCUGGGACUGAGACCCGGCCCCGACUCCUUCGGGAGGCAGCAGUAGGGAAUCUUCGGCAAUAGACGAAAGUCUGACCGAGCAACGCCGGGUGAGUGAAGAAGGUUUUCGGAUCGUUAAGCUCUGUUGUAAGGGGAGAAAGGGUGUGAGGGUGGAAAGUUCACACUGUGACGGUAUCUUACCAGAAAGCGACGGCUAACUACGUG